rnacentral:rRNA from 1 species
UGGGGAAUUUUGGACAAUGGGCGAAAGCCUGAUCCAGCAAUGCCGCGUGUGUGAAGAAGGCCUUCGGGUUGUAAAGCACUUUUGUCCGGAAAGAAAUCCUUGGCUCUAAUACAGUCGGGGGAUGACGGUACCGGAAGAAUAAGCACCGGCUAACUACGUGCCAGCAGCCGCGGUAAUACGUAGGGUGCAAGCGUUAAUCGGAAUUACUGGGCGUAAAGCGUGCGCAGGCGGUUUGCUAAGACCGAUGUGAAAUCCCCGGGCUCAACCUGGGAACUGCAUUGGUGACUGGCAGGCUAGAGUAUGGCAGAGGGGGGUAGAAUUCCACGUGUAGCAGCGAAAUGCGUAGAGAUGUGGAGGAAUACCGAUGGCGAAGGCAGCCCCCUGGGCCAAUACUGACGCUCAUGCACGAAAGCGUGGGGAGCAAACAGGAUUAGAUACCCUGGUAGUCCACGCCCUAAAACGAUGUCAACUAGUUGUUGGGGAUUCAUUUCCUUAGCAACGUAGCUAACGCGUGAAGUUGACCGCCUGGGGAGUACGGUCGCAAGAUUAAAACUCAAAUGAAUUGACGGGGUCAUAGCUGUUUCCU